GACGUAGGUGGCGAACGUUAUCCGGAAUUAUUGGGCGUAAAGGGUGCGUAGGCGGCGCGGUAAGUCGGGUGUGAAAUCUCGGAGCUUAACUCCGAAACUGCAUUCGAUACUGCCGUGCCUUGAGGACUGGAGAGGAGACUGGAAUUUACGGUGUAGCGGUGAAAUGCGUAGAUAUCGUAAGGAAGACCAGUGGCGAAGGCGGGUCUCUGGACAGUUCCUGACGCUGAGGCACGAAGGUCAGGGGAGCAAACGGG
rnacentral:rRNA from 1 species